GAGUCGGCCAGGCGAUCGCGGUGGGCAACCACUGAGGAAAGUCCGGACUCCGAAGGGCAGGGUGGUGGGUAACGCCCACCCGGGGUGACCCGCGGGACAGUGCCACAGAGAACAGACCGCCUCCGCGUGCGGAGGUAAGGGUGAAACGGUGGUGCAAGAGACCACCAGCACCCCAGGUGACUGGGGUGGCUCGGCAAACCCCACCCGGAGCAAGACCAAGAGGAUCCGCCUCGGCGGGUCUGCGGCGACGUACGAGGGCUGCCCGCCCGAGUCGUCGGGUAGGUCGCACCAGGUCGUUGGCAACAACGAUCGCAGAUGGAUGAUCGCCGGGCGCUGCCUGCAGCGCUCACAGAAUCCGGCUUACCGGCCGACUCGUC
rnacentral:RNase_P_RNA from 1 species